UACGUAGGGUGCAAGCGUUAAUCGGAAUUACUGGGCGUAAAGCGUGCGCAGGCGGUCUUGCAAGACAGAUGUGAAAUCCCCGGGCUUAACCUGGGAACUGCAUUUGAGACUGCAAGGCUGGAGUACGGCAGAGGGGGAUGGAAUUCCGCGUGUAGCAGUGAAAUGCGUAGAUAUGCGGAGGAACACCGAUGGCGAAGGCAAUCCCCUGGGCCUGUACUGACGCUCAUGCACGAAAGCGUGGGGAGCAAACAGG
rnacentral:rRNA from 1 species